CCAAAUUACAGCUAAGUGGGAAACGAUGUGGGAAGGCUUAGACAGCUAGGAUGUUGGCUUAGAAGCAGCCAUCAUUUAAAGAAAGCGUAAUAGCUCACUAGUCGAGUCGGCCUGCGCGGAAGAUGUAACGGGGCUAAGUUGUAAACCGAAGCUGCGGCAAUGUUCUAUGAACAUUGGGUAGGGGAGCGUUCUGUAAGCCGUUGAAGGUGUGUUGUAAAGCAUGCUGGAGGUAUCAGAAGUGCGAAUGCUGACAUGAGUAACGACAAGGGGGGUGAAAAACCUCCCCGCCGGAAGAYCAAGGGUUCCUGUCCAACGUUAAUCGGGGCAGGGUAAGUCGACCCCUAAGGCGAGGCUGAAAAGCGUAGUCGAUGGGAAACGGGUUAAUAUUCCCGUACUUCUUACAAUUGCGAUGGGGGGACGGAGAAGGCUAGGUGGGCCUGGCGACGGUUGUCCAGGUUCAAGUGCGUAGGCUGAGUGUUUAGGUAAAUCCGGAYACUCUUAAGGCUGAGACACGACGUCGAGCUACUACGGUAGUGAAGUCAUUGAUGCCAUGCUUCCAGGAAAAGCCUCUAAGCUUCAGAUUGUAAGGAAUCGUACCCCAAACCGACACAGGUGGUCGGGUAGAGAAUACCAAGGCGCUUGAGAGAACUCGGGUGAAGGAACUAGGCAAAAUGGUACCGUAACUUCGGGAGAAGGUACGCUCUUGAUGGUGAAGUCCCUUGCGGAUGGAGCUGACGAGAGUCGCAGAUACCAGGUGGCUGCAACUGUUUAUUAAAAACACAGCACUGUGCAAAAUCGUAAGAUGACGUAUACGGUGUGACGCCUGCCCGGUGCCGGAAGGUUAAUUGAUGGGGUUAGCGUAAGCGAAGCUCUUGAUCGAAGCCCCGGUAAACGGCGGCCGUAACUAUAACGGUCCUAAGGUAGCGAAAUUCCUUGUCGGGUAAGUUCCGACCUGCACGAAUGGCGUAAUGAUGGCCACGCUGUCUCCACCCGAGACUCAGUGAAAUUGAAAUCGCUGUGAAGAUGCAGUGUACCCGCGGCUAGACGGAAAGACCCCGUGAACCUUUACUACAGCUUGGCACUGAACAUUGAACCUACAUGUGUAGGAUAGGUGGGAGGCUUUGAAGACGUGACGCCAGUUGCGUUGGAGCCGUCCUUGAAAUACCACCCUUGUAUGUUUGAUGUUCUAACGUUGGCCCCUAAUCGGGGUUGCGGACAGUGCCUGGUGGGUAGUUUGACUGGGGCGGUCUCCUCCCAAAGAGUAACGGAGGAGCACGAAGGUGGGCUAAUCACGGUUGGACAUCGUGAGGUUAGUGCAAUGGCAUAAGCCCGCUUAACUGCGAGAAUGACGGUUCGAGCAGGUGCGAAAGCAGGUCAUAGUGAUCCGGUGGUUCUGAAUGGAAGGGCCAUCGCUCAACGGAUAAARGUACUCCGGGGAUAACAGGCUGAUACCGCCCAAGAGUUCAUAUCGACGGCGGUGUUUGGCACCUCGAUGUCGGCUCAGUCACAUCCUGGGGCUGAAGUCGGUCCCAAGGGUAUGGCUGUUCGCCAUUUAAAGUGGUACGCGAGCUGG
rnacentral:rRNA from 1 species